UACGAAGGGGGCUAGCGUUGUUCGGAAUCACUGGGCGUAAAGGGCGCGUAGGCGGCUUUAUAAGUCGGGGGUGAAAGCCUGUGGCUCAACCACAGAAUUGCCUUCGAUACUGUAGAGCUUGAGACCGGAAGAGGUAAGUGGAACUGCGAGUGUAGAGGUGAAAUUCGUAGAUAUUCGCAAGAACACCAGUGGCGAAGGCGGCUUACUGGUCCGGUUCUGACGCUGAGCUGCGCGAAAGCGUGGGGAGCAAACGGG
rnacentral:rRNA from 1 species